GGAGAGAUGCAGGAGUGGUUUAUCUGGCACGCCUGGAGAGCGUGUAUACCUGAAAGGGUAUCGUGGGUUCGAAUCCCACUCUCUCCGCCA
rnacentral:tRNA from 5 species